rnacentral:rRNA from 1 species
UAAUACCGGAUACGAGCACUUACCGCAUGGUGGGUGUUGGAAAGUUUUUCGGUGGGGGAUGGGCUCGCGGCCUAUCAGCUUGUUGGUGGGGUAAUGGCCUACCAAGGCGUCGACGGGUAGCCGGCCUGAGAGGGCGACCGGCCACACUGGGACUGAGACACGGCCCAGACUCCUACGGGAGGCAGCAGUGGGGAAUAUUGCACAAUGGGCGAAAGCCUGAUGCAGCGACGCCACGUGAGGGAUGACGGCCUUCGGGUUGUAAACCUCUUUCAGCAGGGAAGAAGCGCAAGUGACGGUACCUGCAGAAGAAGCGCCGGCUAACUACGUGCCAGCAGCCGCGGUAAUACGUAGGGCGCAAGCGUUGUCCGGAAUUAUUGGGCGUAAAGAGCUCGUAGGCGGUCUGUCGCGUCUGGUGUGAAAUCCCAUGGCUCAACCAUGGGCUUGCAUCGGGUACGGGCAGACUAGAGUGCUGUAGGGGAGACUGGAAUUCCUGGUGUAGCGGUGGAAUGCGCAGAUAUCAGGAGGAACACCGAUGGCGAAGGCAGGUCUCUGGGCAGUUACUGACGCUGAGGAGCGAAAGCAUGGGGAGCGAACAGGAUUAGAUACCCUGGUAGUCCAUGCCGUAAACGUUGGGCACUAGGUGUGGGGCCAGUUCCACUGGUUCUGUGCCGCAGCUAACGCAUUAAGUGCCCCGCCUGGGGAGUACGGCCGCAAGGCUAAAACUCAAAGGAAUUGACGGGGGCCCGCACAAGCGGCGGAGCAUGCGGAUUAAUUCGAUGCAACGCGAAGAACCUUACCAAGGCUUGACAUGUACGAGAAAGCCCCAGAGAUGGGGUUCUCUUUGGACACUCGUACACAGGUGGUGCAUGGUUGUCGUCAGCUCGUGUCGUGAGAUGUUGGGUUAAGUCCCGCAACGAGCGCAACCCUUAUCCUAUGUUGCCAGCGGGUUAUGCCGGGGACUCAUGGGAGACUGCCGGGGUCAACUCGGAGGAAGGUGGGGAUGACGUCAAAUCAUCAUGCCCCUUAUGUCUUGGGCUUCACGCAUGCUACAAUGGCCGGUACAGAGGGCUGCGAUACCGUGAGGUGGAGCGAAUCCCAAAAAGCCGGUCUCAGUUCGGAUCGGGGUCUGCAACUCGA